rnacentral:rRNA from 1 species
GACGAACGCUGACGGUGUGCUUUAGACACGCAAGUCGAACGAGAAAGCCCUUCGGGGUGAGUAAAGUGGCGAACGGGUGAGUAACACGUGGGUAACCUGCCCCUCGCAGAGGGAUAACUGGGGGAAACCCCAGCUAAUACCUCGUACGCUUGCCGGGUCGCAUGGCUCGGCACGGAAAGGUAGCUUCGGCCAUCCGGCGAGGGAUGGGCCCGCGGUCCAUUAGCUAGUUGGUGGGGUAACGGCCCACCAAGGCGACGAUGGAUAGCUGGUCUGAGAGGAUGAUCAGCCACACUGGGACUGAGACACGGCCCAGACUCCUACGGGAGGCAGCAGUCGGGAAUCUUGCGCAAUGGGCGAAAGCCUGACGCAGCAACACCGUGUGGGCGACGAAGGCCUUCGGGUCGUAAAGCCCUGUUGUUGGGGACGAAGGACGAAGGGUUAAUAGCCCCUAGUCUGACGGUACCCUUCGAGGAAGCCCCGGCUAACUACGUGCCAGCCGCCGCAGUAAGAC